rnacentral:rRNA from 1 species
CCCUUAGAUGUUCUGGGCUGCACACGUGCUACACUGGCAGGUUCAGCGAGCUUCAUGCCCUGAUCUGAAAGGAAUGGGAAAUCUUUUCAAAACCUGCCGUGCUUGGGAUAGAUGUUUGCAAUUAUUCAUCUUCAACGAGGAUUGCCUUGUAAGCGCACGUCAUCAGCGUGCAUUGAAUACGACCCUGUAUUCUGUACACACCGCCCAUCGCUCCUACCGAUUGAAGUUUUCGGUGAGUUGACAGGAGGAUUUUUUUGAAACUGGUUCGCCAGUGGAUUUUAGAUCCAAAUGCCAACGAAUCGAUGGCUUUAGAGGAAGGAGAAGUCGUAACA